GGCUGCUUUAUGCAGUCUUGUUGAAUGGUGGAUAAACUCGGGGGACUGCUGACUAUAACCAUUUCUCAAAACAGAGGAAGGUUGCGGCAAUAACAGGUCUGUGAUGCCCUCAGAUGUCCCGGGCUGCACACGUGCUACAAUGAGUGGCGCAAUGUGCUAAUGUUUAAGGGAUAAGAGUGUGGUCAGUAGAACGUCGGGAUUUCCCCUGACGUCUCCCCCGCACGAUUAUCAGCCUUCCCUUAACAGGGCGGGCAACCUUUUCAAAAUACUGGUUUGAUGUUAAAGUAUUGAGUCGUUUUUUUUGGAUGGUGGUUUGUUAACCAAUACCAUCCGGCAACUGCUCGCGAGUUUGUGGUUCUGGCGACUCAUGGUGGGGACCGACGUUUGUAAUUUUUUGUCGCGUGUUAACUAGGAAUGCCUUGUACUGUCGAUUCACUAAGUUACUGGGAAUACGUCCCUGCCCUUUGUACACACCGCCCGUCGCUCUUACCGAUGGCUGUGUGUGUGAGUAAGAGCGACUGUUAAGAGGGAAAU
rnacentral:rRNA from 1 species